CAAUAAGAGUGUUUAUGGCACUCUUUCAAAAAAAUCCAUACCCACCUUGUGUGCAAUGUAAAAAAAAAAGGAGUUUUCUGGUGGUUUGGGAGUGAGAGUUGUUUUACAACGCUCAUUUUUUUUUUUUCCUCAAGAGACACUUCUUUUUUCAUUUCAUUAUACACCUUUCUAUAAGUUUCCUAUUGUCUGAAGUACUUGGAAUAAAUAUAAUUCUAAAAUA
rnacentral:misc_RNA from 1 species